AAAGGGUUUAGUUCACCAUUGUCAUGGGGGGAAUUCCUUGAUUAUGCUAAUACGGCCUAGAGAUAGGGGUAGGACGAUCAAUUGUAUUUUGCUUCCGUUUAUCAUGCAUUGCUAGUUACAAGGGGAGGCUAGAGAUAACAAGCCAGUAAUUAGUAAUAGGCUUUUUUUGCCAAGAGAUUGGGUUUAGGGUAGACUAAGAAAGUUUGCAUGACAAUUUGAUAAUAAAGCGAAUUAAAUAAGAAAACUAGAUAUAUGAGAGUUAUUGGGUGAAAUAUGAACCUUAGCAACAAAUCCAUCUCAUAUUAUCAACAUCAUCCAUCCACUUUUGUGUUUAACCUCAAUUGAUCAAAUUGCAUUCAUGUUUAUUUUUUCGUACUUAAUAUUCAAAAAUCCCAAAAUACUAUUCUUGUAGUCUUGAUUGGUUAAGCAAAAGCACAACAAUUUAAUGCCAUGAGUCUCUUGGGAAAACGAUACUUGGACUUACCAUUUUAUUAUUACUUGAUACGAUCUGGUACACUUGCGAGAGUGUUAACAACAAUCAACUACGUUUUUUCCGCUGCAUAUAAACUUUCAUUACUUGCACUUCAAGAAAGAUCAAAAAGCUUUAUACUUUUGAUAAAAGAUUGUGAAAAGAUUUUGUUUUUGAAACAUCACCAAUUCACCCCCCUCUUGGUGUAAAAACGAAGCCUACCUGUUUCCCAACAAUUGGCACCAGAGCUGGUUUUCAUAAGAUAUUUGAAAAUUUAGUCGACUCUGUUUUUAUUUCAUUCGACUAUAAAACCUGGGGAUGGCUUCCUGUUUUCAAACUUUUGGUGAAGGUGCUUAAACAAAAAGACCACCUCCUGUUUUCGAAAUGCAAAUCUUUCUUGAAUCGCAAGAUAAAGGAAUUUUAGAUGCCACUUUAAAUGGUCCUUAUUGUUGAGAUUGUUGACAACACAAACUCUAUAUCAAACUGGUUUUUGAUGAUGACAACACACAUCUUAAUAAUAGUACAUAUGUUCCAGUGCUACAUGUUCAGUUGAUGUGCUAUACUGUUUUGAACAAUACUUUAUUGAACAUGUUUUGUUAUUUUGCAUGGAUGUUCCUAUGAUUAACUAUGUGUUAUAUGUUUGGAAUAUGUUUGUAUUGAAAAAUGUGAUUAAAAUGAUUUUGAUUACUUUUACACAUUUCUGAAGAAAAGCUCACAAGUACUUUUAUGAACUUAUAUUUGUUGUGACAAAGGACCAGUUCAGUCGACUACAUUGGUUAUGGAGUCGACUAAGCUAAAAUCUUUGUACAAAUUUUGUGCUUGUGUACUUGAUGAGAUUUUGAGAUGAAAAGAAUUUCAAAAUGUUUUUUCAUGAGUCAGUCGAUAGUGUGAAUCACUUAUUCGACUAUACCACUGUUUUAUUUGAAAUUUUGUUUUGCCUACUUGCUCCAACGGCUAUAUUUUCAAAAGUUAGUUAGGAUUAACUAACUGGGUCAACUAUCAUAAAUGUGCAUUGAUUUUGUUGACUGUGGAGCCUGUGUGUUGACUGUCUGUUAUAACUGAUUUAAUACAGUUGACUGUAUUAGUAGGCUAUUCGACUGAGGCUGACAGGAAAACUAUAAAUAGAAAUAGAACACGAUUUAUUCUAAGACUUUUGUGAUCUAACAUUUUCAUUGUCCUGUUUCAGAGAAAGCUCUCAGUUUCAGAAGCUCCAAGAAUUCUCCAAGAAGACGGUGGUGAUCUUUGUUGAGAGAGAUUCAGAAUUAGGAAUCAUUUGCGCUUACUGUUUGAUCAACAUCUGCACAAAGAAGGUGCUUCUGGCUUGAUCUUGAAGGCUUGGCAUCCUCUGAAGACUGUUGCAUUUGACUGAAGGCUUGGCAACCUGUGAAGUGUGCUGUGAUAGGCUUGGCAACCUGUGAAGCGUGUUAUGAUAGGCUUGACAUCCUGUGAAGAGUGCUGGUGACACGUUGAGGAUUGUUCAACCUGGGUGCAGAUUGUAGGAGAGGGGAUUCUUGCUGCAAUUCUGGUUUUUGUCUGCAGCUAUAUUUGGUUUUGGGUUAGAGAGGAGAUUUAUAUUUUUGCGUGGUGCUUCUAUAAGUUCCUUGCUGUAAAAACCACAACCAUUAUAGUGCAUUUGCUUCCUAGGUUGGAAGGACACUGGAUGUAGGCAUUGUUUGUCGAACCAGUAUAAAAACCAGUGUUUGAUUUUCUCUAUCCCUGCACUCUUUACAUUCAGUCGACUAUACCUGUUUAGCAGUCAACUACGUUUUUCUGCUGCAUUAUAUUUUUCAAUAACUUGCAUUUCAAGGAAAGAUCAAAAGCUUUGAAUUUUCAUACCAAGAUUGCGAAAAGAUUUUAAAUUUGAACUAACACCAAUUCAACCCCUCCCCCCCUCUUGGUGUAAAACGAAGCCAAACUGUUUCCUAACACUUAUGUGCCUACAAAACCUUUUACUGAGUGGACUGCUGAUGAAAACAGAAAAGCUCAGUAUGAUGUUAAAGCUAG
rnacentral:lncRNA from 1 species